UACGAAGGGGGCUAGCGUUGUUCGGAAUUACUGGGCGUAAAGCGCACGUAGGCGGACAUUUAAGUCAGGGGUGAAAUCCCGGAGCUCAACUCCGGAACUGCCUUUGAUACUGGGUGUCUUGAGUGUGGAAGAGGUGAGUGGAAUUCCGAGUGUAGAGGUGAAAUUCGUAGAUAUUCGGAGGAACACCAGUGGCGAAGGCGGCUCACUGGCCCGGUACUGACGCUGAGGUGCGAAAGCGUGGGGAGCAAACAGG
rnacentral:rRNA from 1 species